rnacentral:rRNA from 1 species
AAUCCGUCUAUAUACCGCCGUCGCCAGCUUACCCUAUGAAGGGCCAGUAGUGAGCUUAAUUAGCAUAGCCCAGAAUGACAGGUCGAGGUGUAGCUAACAAGGGGGGAAGAGAUGGGCUACAUUCCCUAAAGAAGGGAACACGAAAGAUGACCUGAAAUGCAAACUAGAAGGAGGAUUUAGCAGUAAGCAGAAACCAGAGAGUUCCGCUGAAGCAGGCCCUGAAGCGCGUACACACCGCCCGUCACUCUCCCUGAACUAAGAAAAAAAAAUAACUAAUCCAGACAUGGUGCCAAGGGAGACAAGUCGUAACAUGGUAAGUGUACCGGAAGGUGCACUUGGACAAAC